rnacentral:rRNA from 1 species
ACACAUGCAGUCGAACGGUGAAAGAGAGCUUGCUCUCUGGAUCAGUGGCGAACGGGUGAGUAACACGUGAGCAACCUGCCCCGGACUCUGGGAUAACAGCUGGAAACAGCUGCUAAUACCGGAUACGAGCUGCGAAGGCAUCUUCAGCAGCUGGAAAGAAUUUCGGUCCGGGAUGGGCUCGCGGCCUAUCAGCUAGUUGGUGAGGUAAUGGCUCACCAAGGCGUCGACGGGUAGCCGGCCUGAGAGGGUGACCGGCCACACUGGGACUGAGACACGGCCCAGACUCCUACGGGAGGCAGCAGUGGGGAAUAUUGCACAAUGGGCGAAAGCCUGAUGCAGCAACGCCGCGUGAGGGAUGACGGCCUUCGGGUUGUAAACCUCUUUUAGCAGGGAAGAAGCGAAAGUGACGGUACCUGCAGAAAAAGCGCCGGCUAACUACGUGCCAGCAGCCGCGGUAAUACGUAGGGCGCAAGCGUUAUCCGGAAUUAUUGGGCGUAAAGAGCUCGUAGGCGGUUUGUCGCGUCUGCUGUGAAAACCCGAGGCUCAACCUCGGGCCUGCAGUGGGUACGGGCAGACUAGAGUGCGGUAGGGGAGAUUGGAAUUCCUGGUGUAGCGGUGGAAUGCGCAGAUAUCAGGAGGAACACCGAUGGCGAAGGCAGAUCUCUGGGCCGUAACUGACGCUGAGGAGCGAAAGGGUGGGGAGCAAACAGGCUUAGAUACCC